rnacentral:tRNA from 1 species
UGACGAGAUAGCCAAGCCCGGUAUGGCGCGGGAUUGCUAAUCCCGUGAUGCUCCGCAUCCCGGGGGUUCGAGUCCCCCUCUCGUCGU